GAGAAAAGUACUUGAAUUUCUCUCAACUCAAAAGUACUCCUGCAAGUUGCAUCCUUUCAUACAUUCGCCCGUUUUCGGUCAGACAGCCAAGACUCGCCCCUUGAAGGGAACCGCAGCCGGCAGCGGCAGCCACGCCUCAAGCCCAGCGGGAGUGCAUUCGAGAGCUCGACCUGAAGGACCUCUGCGAGGCGACGCCGGAAGAACGACUGGAGGAGAAGGCAGCCACUGCAACGCUUGCGGCAGCGAGGGGUUCUGCGGUUGACCUACGUGUGUUGCGAGCGAGACCCUGCCUGGGUCCCGGACGCGCUGCGUGGUGCCGCGCCCACGCUGGAGGAGAUUUCAGUCCGGAACCCAACGUCGGUCACCUCCGCGCGCUCCACGCUGCACCCACACUGCGGCGGAUGUGGCUGGAAUCUACUGGGGGCCGACCGCUCUGGCAGCCGCGCUCCCCGCCCCGCUGCAGGGCGGCCCCAAGUGGGUGCGCUGCCUGCAGCCAGCCUGCUCUCGCUGCUGCGGCCCACAGCGCGUCCCUGGAGGAGCUGCACACGGAU